rnacentral:rRNA from 1 species
GUAGGUGGCAAGCGUUGUCCGGAAUUAUGGGGCGUAAAGCGCGCGCAGGCGGGUCCUUUAAGUCUGAUGUGAAAGCCCACGGGCUCAACCGUGGAGGGUCAUUGGAAACUGGGGGACUUGAGUACAGAAGAGGAAAGCGGAAUUCCAAGUGUAGCGGUGAAAUGCGUAGAGAUUUGGAGGAACACCAGUGGCGAAGGCGGCUUUCUGGUCUGUAACUGACGCUGAGGCGCGAAAGCGUGGGGAGCAAACAGGAUUAGAUACCCUGGUAGUCCACGCCGUAAACGAUGAGUGCUAAGUGUUAGGGGGGUUUCCGCCCCUUAGUGCUGCAGCUAACGCAUUAAGCACUCCGCCUGGGGAGUACGGCCGCAAAGGCUG